CCUGUGGAAGUAUGGGUUUUCUUCAUUCUUUUAAUGUUUUUACAUUUCUUCUUAUUAAAGAUUGUACUGAUCAAGAAUAUAUUUAAAUGUAUGUGAUUAUGGGAUGAUCUCUGAAGAACAAUAGGUAUUCUGUGUUAUGUCUAUUUGUAACUAAGGAAAGACAGUGGUCUCCUUGUACACUGAUGCAUACUACCUAGAGAAUCUUUGAACCCCAGUUGCAGGAGGGAAAAUUGUAAACAUUUACUUAGUGGAAUUUUGUAAGUAACUUCUGUUGGGAAACAGUCUUGUGCAGAAGACCUUUGAUGUGUGUAGUGAAAUAUCUGUCAUUGAUUAAAAUGGAAGAUUAUAUAAUAGUUAUUGUUAAACUAACUUGAAACAUAUGUUUGACCUAGGCUGGGAUUGGUUAUUUUAAAGGGAAGAUACAUCAGGGUAGGAGGAGAUCUGGUUGUAUAAAAA